rnacentral:miRNA from 1 species
GUUGGUGCAAAAGUAACUGCGGUUUUUGCAAUUAAAAGUACAGUAAAAACCACAAUUACUUUUCCAGCAA